UGACAGUACUCCUACGGGGAGGCAGCAGUGGGGGAAUAUUGCACAAUGGGCGCAAGCCUGAUGCAGCCAUGCCGCGUGUGUGAAGAAGGCCUUCGGGUUGUUAAAGCACUUUCAGUCGUGAGGAAGGUAGUGUAGUUAAUAGCUGCAUUAUUUGACGUUUAGCGACAGAAGAAGCACCGGCUAACUCCGUGCCAGCAGCCGCGGUAAUACGGAGGGUGCGAGCGUUAAUCGGAAUUACUGGGCGUAAAGCGCAUGCAGGUGGUUUGUUUAAGUCAGAUGUGAAAGCCCGGGGCUCAACCUCGGAAUAGCAUUUGAAACUGGCAGACUAGAGUACUGUAGAGGGGGGUAGGAAUUUCAGGUGUAGACGGUGAAAUGCGUAGAGAUCUGAAGGAAUACCGGUGGCGAAGGCGGCCCCCUGGACAGAUACUGACACUCAGAUGCGAAAGCGUGGGGAGCAAACAGGAUUAGAUACCCCUGGUAG
rnacentral:rRNA from 1 species